GGCGUCCAGCUCAGCAGACACGUCACUAAUUCGAGCCUUCUCGCGUCGACACGUCAGAUUAAAUGAAACUCGGCGUACUGGGCUUUUUCUUUUGUCGUCACUUCAGAUGGGCUUCGUCUCAAGAUGUGUCUUUGCGGCCCAGGUACCCUUACAUUGAACCCUAAUCCCUCUUCACUUCUUCCCCUUCGCUUCCUCUGUAACUCUCCGGCGGCGAUAUGUCGAUUGUACUUCUGUAACGGUUGUGAUUACUGCGUAAUUACUCCUAGCGUCUUUGAUUCGUCGUCUUCGUCUGUGUGUAUAAAUAGGGUUUGGUGUUCUUCUUCCACAAUCAAACGAGCAGUCUUCUUCUUCGAUCUCUGAGCUUUGGAGUUUCGAUAUCUCAAAUCCACGGUUCAUUGUUCUCUACAGCAAGCUCUGCUACGGUCAACCAACAAUGGAAGAGGAAAAGGUUGUGUGAAACGAGUGUUAGUGAGGAAUCUCUGCGUCGGAUCUCGGUUAAUGUCAGAUUCAUCUUGCUCACCAUAGUCACUCUCUCUGAUUCUGCUUCUGCUUCUUAUGCCUUAAAAAUAUCGAUGAUUCAAAUCAGACUGAGACAUAAUCUUUCACAUUAAUAUUGAAAUACUUAGAAUCGGAUUGACUGGUUUGGAUAUUGAGUUCUGAAUUUUGUUAGAAUUCUCUCUACGUUCUAACUAUUGUUUCUGUUAUAACAUAGAAAGGGUCAGAAGCAGAUUGAUCUCUUAGUUCCAGUGACAUAAGAAACUUUCCCCUUCCCCGUGUCAUCAUCUCUACUGCAAGAGGGUGACAUAUAUCAUAGAUUCAAUCACUAUGCUUACUUUGAAAUUUCUUGGUCUCAAUCAUUGUUGACACGUUAGUAACACUUGACUCCAUGUUCAGGGGAGACUCCUUCACCUAUUUUCAGGUCUCCAAUGUAGGGUCUAGAUGAUAUCUUGACCAACUAAGUCAUUCCGUAUGGCUGGGGAAAACAUUCACGUACCAGGAUUAAGCUAACUGAGUUCAAUUUCUGCCCUGAACAUCCGACUUUUACUGUUGUCACCAUUGUCUCUCUAUAGCAAGAUUUGAUGUUGAUACAUCCCAAAUCCAGUUCAUACUUUGCACACCUCUUUAUUGACAUGAAGCUUAACAUUUUUUUAUUAUAAGCAGGAAGGGGACGGCUACCUGGAGGUGAUGUGCCUUUUGCCACAUGUAGCUCCUGCAACUGCUCAGAUGGUGAUAAAACAGCUACUAAUCAGAUCACCGGAGGUGAUUGCAAUCUCUCAAACGACCUCGGUGCAUCGGAUGCAACAGCCGCUGCUGAGCAGCCCACUUCUGGCGGAAGCAAUGCAAAGGAACAACUGGUUCCAGCAGCAGGAAACACAGUUUUUAAAGCACGAACGGAAUAGUUGCUCAAGUGAUGGAACUGAAGACCCUAAUAUUUUUCUUAAUCAUCCUUGACGUUAUAUUUUUUUCCAUCAAAUUUUGUGAUUUCUUUAUGUGUGUUCUCUCCAUCAAGUUUAAUGAUAUGAACCAUGUUCGCUUCUUUUUCCAUAAAUAAAAACGUUUUUCUACUUA